rnacentral:rRNA from 1 species
ACGAUGGGUAGCCGACCUGAGAGGGUGAUCGGCCACACUGGAACUGAGAAACGGUCCAGACUCCUACGGGAGGCAGCAGUGGGGAAUAUUGGGCAAUGGAGGGAACUCUGACCCAGCAACGCCGCGUGAAGGAAGAAGGUUUUCGGAUUGUAAACUUCUGUUCUAAGGGAAGAAGAAUGACGGUACCUUAGGAGAAAGCCCCGGCAAACUACGUGCCAGCAGCCGCGGUAAUACGUAGGGGGCAAGCGUUGUCCGGAAUGACUGGGCGUAAAGGGAGUGUAGGCGGUUAAUCCAGUCCGGUGUGAAAGCCCACAGCUUAACUGUGGAACUGCACCGGAAACUAAUUGACUAGAGUGUGGGAGAGGGAAGCGGAAUUCCUAGUGUAGCGGUGGAAUGCGUAGAUAUUAGGAAGAACACCAGAGGCGAAGGCGGCUUUCUGGCCCAUAACUGACGCUGAGGCUCGAAAGCGUGGGGAUCAAACAGGAUUAGAUACCCUGGUAGUCCACGCUGUAAACGAUGGAUACUAGACGUAGGAGGUAUCGACUCCUUCUGUGUCGAAGUUAACACGAUAAGUAUCCCGCCUGGGGGGUUGAAACUCAAAGAAAUUGACGGGGACCCGCACAAGCAGCGGAGCAUGUGGUUUAAUUCGAAGCAACGCGAAGAACCUUACCAAGACUUGACAUCGUAUGCAAGGCAUAGAGAUAUGUCCCCCUAGCAAUAGGCAUAUAGACAGGUGGUGCAUGGUUGUCGUCAGCUCGUGUCGUGAGAUGUUCGGUUAAGUCCGGCAACGAGCGCAACCCUUAUGAUAUGUUGCCAAUAUUCAGUUAGGAACUCAUAUCAGACUGCCGUGGACAACACGGAGGAAGGCGGGGACGACGUCAAAUCAUCAUGCCCCUUACGUCUUGGGCUACACACGUGCUACAAUGGCCACUACAAAGAGCAGCGAAACGGCAACGUAGAGCGAAUCUCACAAAAGUGGUCUCAGUUCAGAUUGUGGGCUGCAACCCGCCCACAUGAAGUAGGAGUUGCUAGUAAUCCCGAAUCAGAAUGUCGGGGUGAAUGCGUUCCCGGGUCUUGUACACACCGCCCGUCACGCCAUGGGAGUUGGGAGUACCCGAAGCCGGUGAGCUAACCUCGUAAGAGGAGGCA